AGUGAACGCUGGCGGUAGGCCUAACACAUGCCAGUCGAACGGCAGCACAGUAAGAGCUUGCUCUUACGGGUGGCGAGUGGCGGACGGUUGAGGAAUACAUCGGAAUCUACUUUUUCGUGGGGGAUAACGUAGGGAAACUUACGCUAAUACCGCAUACGACCUACGGGUGAAAGCAGGGGAUCUUCGGACCUUGCGCGAUUGAAUGAGCCGAUGUCGGAUUAGCUAGUUGGCGGGGUAAAGGCCCACCAAGGCGACGAUCCGUAGCUGGUCUGAGAGGAUGAUCAGCCACACUGGAACUGAGACACGGUCCAGACUCCUACGGGAGGCAGCAGUGGGGAAUAUUGGACAAUGGGCGCAAGCCUGAUCCAGCCAUACCGCGUGGGUGAAGAAGGCCUUCGGGUUGUAAAGCCCUUUUGUUGGGAAAGAAAAGCAGCAGGUUAAUACCCCGCUGUUCUGACGGUACCCAAAGAAUAAGCACCGGCUAACUUCGUG
rnacentral:rRNA from 1 species